AACGAACGCUGGCGGCAUGCCUAACACAUGCAAGUCGAACGAUACCUUCGGGUCUAGUGGCGCACGGGUGCGUAACGCGUGGGAACCUGCCCUUAGGUUCGGAAUAACUCCCCGAAAGGGGUGCUAAUACCGGAUAAUGUCUUCGGACCAAAGAUUUAUCGCCUUUGGAUGGGCCCGCGUUGGAUUAGCUAGUUGGUAGGGUAAAAGCCUACCAAGGCGACGAUCCAUAGCUGGUCUGAGAGGAUGAUCAGCCACACUGGGACUGAGACACGGCCCAGAAUCCUACGGGAGGCAGCAGUGGGGAAUAUUGGACAAUGGGCGAAAGCCUGAUCCAGCAAUGCCGCGUGAGUGAUGAAGGCCUUAGGGUUGUAAAGCUCUUUUACCCGGGAUGAUAAUGACAGUACCGGGAGAAUAAGCACCGGCUAACUCCGUG
rnacentral:rRNA from 1 species